rnacentral:rRNA from 1 species
AUAUCAAUAAGCGGAGGAAAAGAAACCAACAGGGAUUGCCUCAGUAACGGCGAGUGAAGCGGCAACAGCUCAAAUUUGAAAUCUGGCCGCAAGGUCCGAGUUGUAAUUUGUAGAGGAUGUUUCGGGUGUGGUCCAGUCUAAGUUCCUUGGAACAGGACGUCAUAGAGGGUGAGAAUCCCGUAUGUGACUGGGUGCCUAAUCCCAUGUGAAACUCCUUCAACGAGUCGAGUUGUUUGGGAAUGCAGCUCAAAAUGGGUGGUAAAUUUCAUCUAAAGCUAAAUAUUGGCCAGAGACCGAUAGCGCACAAGUAGAGUGAUCGAAAGAUGAAAAGCACUUUGGAAAGAGAGUUAAACAGUACGUGAAAUUGUUGAAAGGGAAGCGCUUGCAACCAGACUUGCACGCAGCUGAUCAUCCGGUGUUCUCACCGGUGCACUCGGUUGCGUUCAGGCCAGCAUCGGUUUUGGUGGUGGGAUAAAGGCCCUAGGAAUGUGGCUCCUCUCGGGGAGUGUUAUAGCCUAGGGUGCAAUGCCGCCUACCGGGACCGAGGACCGCGCUUCGGCUAGGAUGCUGGCGUAAUGGUUGUAAGCGACCCGUCUUGAAACACGGACCAAGGAGUCUAACAUCUAUGCGAGUGUUUGGGUGUCAAACCCAUACGCGUAAUGAAAGUGAACGGAGGUGAGAACCCUUAAGGGUGCAUCAUCGACCGAUCCUGAUGUCUUCGGAUGGAUUUGAGUAAGAGCAUAGCUGUUGGGACCCGAAAGAUGGUGAACUAUGCCUGAAUAGGGUGAAGCCAGAGGAAACUCUGGUGGAGGCUCGCAGCGGUUCUGACGUGCAAAUCGAUCGUCAAAUUUGGGUAUAGGGGCGAAAGACUAAUCGAACCAUCUAGUAGCUGGUUCCUG